UACUCCUACGGGAGGCAGCAGUGGGGAAUAUUGCGCAAUGGGGGAAACCCUGACGCAGCGACGCCGCGUGAGCGAAGAAGGCCUUCGGGUUGUAAAGCUCUGUUGUAAGGGACGAACGACUAGGGGAGUAACUGCCCUUAGAAUGACGGUACCUUACCAGCAAGCCCCGGCUAACUACGUGCCAGCAGCCGCGGUAAGACGUAGGGGGCGAGCGUUGUCCGGAAUUACUGGGCGUAAAGAGCACGUAGGCGGAUGUUUAAGUCAGGUGUGAAAGACCGCAGCCCAACUGCGGGGUUGCACUUGAAACUGAAUGUCUUGAGGGCAGGAGAGGUCAGUAGAAUUCCUGGUGUAGCGGUGAAAUGCGUAGAAAUCAGGAGGAAUACCAGUGGCGAAGGCGACUGACUGGACUGACCCUGACGCUGAGGUGCGAAAGCGUGGGUAGCAAACAGGAUUAGAUACCCUGGUAGUCA
rnacentral:rRNA from 1 species